UACGUAGGGACCGAGCGUUGUCCGGAUUCAUUGGGCGUAAAGAGCUCGUAGGCGGCCACUCAAGUCGAAUGUGAAACCUCGAGGCUUAACCUCGAGCCUGCAUUCGAUACUGGGCGGCUAGAGUCUGGUAGGGGGAUCUGGAAUUCCUGGUGUAGCGGUGGAAUGCGCAGAUAUCGUGAGGAACACCAAUGGCGAAGGCAACUUCCUAGACAGCUACUGACGCUCAGGCACGAAAGCGUGGGGAGCAAAAGGG
rnacentral:rRNA from 1 species